CCCACUAUCCACAGCGAAUCCUCCGCGGAUUCGCUUACUUAACUUCUUAGAGGGACUAUCGCGUGAUUUAACCGAUGGAAGUUCGAGGCAAUAACAGGUCUGUGAUGCCCUUAGAUGUUCUGGGCCGCACGCGCGCUACACUGAUACGUUCAUCGAGCUUACAACCUUGGUUGAGAGGCCUGGGUAAUCUUUUGAAACCGUAUCGUGCUGGGGAUAGAUUAUUGUAAUUUUUAAUCUUCAACGAGGAAUUCCUAGUAAACGCUGGUCAUCAGCCAGCAUUGAUUACGUCCCUGCCCUUUGUACACACCGCCCGUCGCUACUACCGAUAGAAUGGCUAAAA
rnacentral:rRNA from 1 species